GAUGAACGCUAGCGGAAGGCAUAAUACAUGCAAGUCGAACGGAUGUAGCAAUACAUUAGUGGCGCACGGGUGCGUAACGCGUAUGCAACCCACCUUCAUCAGGGGGAUAACUACCCGAAAGGGUGGCUAACACCGCAUAAUACUAUUGAGUGGCAUCACUUGAUAUUUAAAUCUGAGGAGGAUGAAGAUGGGCAUGCGUCUGAUUAGCUAGUUGGUGUGGUAACGGCGCACCAAGGCGACGAUCAGUAGGGGAACUGAGAGGUUGGUCCCCCACACUGGCACUGGAAUACUGGCCAGACUCCUACGGGAGGCAGCAGUAGGGAAUAUUGGUCAAUGGUGGGAACACUGAACCAGCCAUUCCGCGUGCAGGAAGAAGGGUCUCUGACUUGUAAACUGCUUUAGCAAGGGAAGAAAAAGCUCAUGCGUGAGAAAUUGACGGUACCUUGAGAAUAAGCACCGGCUAACUACGUGCCAGCCGCCGCCGUAAUAC
rnacentral:rRNA from 1 species